rnacentral:rRNA from 1 species
UACGUAGGGGGCAAGCGUUGUCCGGAUUUAUUGGGCGUAAAGAGCGUGUAGGCGGCUUUACAGGUCCGUUGUGAAAACUCGAGGCUCAACCUCGAGACGCCGGUGGAAACCGUAAGGCUAGAGUCCGGAAGAGGAGAGUGGAAUUCCCGGUGUAGCGGUGAAAUGCGCAGAUAUCGGGAAGAACACCCGUGGCGAAGGCGGCUCUCUGGGACGGUACUGACGCUGAGACGCGAAAGCGUGGGGAGCGAACAGG